ensembl:lncRNA
GGACGCUUCCUGCCGGCCGGCAACCAGGACCCCAUCGGGUGGGAGUCCUGGGUGCAGGCUGGCACAUCAGGAGGGCAAGACCCAGCUCUGGGGAAUCCGGCAGGAGGGCUUGAGGAGGACGGGAGGGGACAGCCCAGGCCGAGGGCUGUGACACAGACACCCCCCGGCCACUGGUGACUCAGGCUGCUUCACUUCAGUGCUCCCUGUCUUGACUUACUCACCUAUUACAUGGUGGAGAUCUACCUGCGGAAUCAGUAAUUCUGUUUUGAGGAUCAAACAAGGGCCCAGGAUCGUGUGAACACAGCUGUCACGGGCGCUGGGAAACCAAGAUCUCCGUGUACCUUGCUUUAUUGCGAUAUCUGCCACAUCUCGGUGGUCUGGAAACCAAGCCACACUGUCUGUCCUGGACUGUGGGACUAUGAAGACUCCCUUUUCAAAAACAAACAAGCAAAAGACACCCGUUGGCCCUCCACUUGCUGGGAACUUGGCUUCUGACAUCUUCAUGUUGAGAAAUACGAGGGCCUCUGCGGCUUCUCCCCAGACGCUCGUCCCUCCCUGGCUCUCCCGCCGCGUUUCUGCAGGAAGGACCAGCGCAGAGCAGGGCCCUGUGCAGACCUGUCUCAGCCGAGGCCCGCUGCCCGGGGCUUGGACCCCACCUCCUUGGACGCACCGGCCGGUGUUGGUCUGCAAGGAGCCUCCACUGUCAGAAGCGGGGCUGGCUUCAGUCUUCACUUCAGAUGCUUUCGUGCUGCUCUGCUUUUAAUUAAACCAGCCGCAGGCAGCUUUGCCCGCUGCCGCCUCUUUCUGCGUCAGGUGCAGCGUCUUACACUCAGCACGUCCUGCCCGGCACACCACAUCACCCGCCGCCUCCA